AUGAGAACACCUAGCAUGGUGGCCUGGAAAGGUCAGUUUUACUUUGACUUUUUUCAGUUCAACAUGGAAGCCAGAGAGGAAGAUGGUGGCAAAGCCAACGCUAACUUGAAAAGGCAGAGAGAACCUCUGUCAGACUCCGAAGGCAAUGCUGUCCCAGCCCCAGAAAUGAAAGAUGGGCUGAAGCGGCGGCGUCUGGAGGCAGCUGGUAGGGAGAACCAAAGUCCUAAACCGUCCACCUCUGGAAGACUGGCUGCGCUACAGACAAAACCAGACACGCCGAUGAUUCCCUCAGUCCGUUCACGAGUUCAGCUGCUCGCCCAGAGAAGAGAUGUUCAGCGUUGCUUUUCUGAUCCCGGAGCUGAAGGUUCAUCAGUUAAUACCAAAGACAUCAAAGGGCAUCUCCUUGGCGAAGAAGAAUUUAAUGAAAGACUGGAGCGUUUUAAAGCACCUGUUUUCCAGGCCAGCCCCACCCCAGCAGAGAUUCCUGCCAAUCCCAGCCCACGGGCCCGCUCCCGCUUCGUCUCUGGCAUUCAGCAGAAACUCCAGUGCUCAACAACCCCCAGCUCGAAGCAGGCUUUCAGCAUACGCCAGGAACGAGAACGGGAGCUGAACCAGCUGUCUUUCCAGCCAAUUAGUGAGAACGCCUGGCUGAAAAGGAGCAACUCCGAUUCAUCAUUAACAAGCGUAAGUUUGUCAUACUUUAUCUGUUAG
rnacentral:lncRNA from 1 species